rnacentral:rRNA from 1 species
CGCAUCUGUGCAUGCAGCAUAUCAAUAAGCGGAGGAAAAGAAAACUAACAAGGAUUCCCCUAGUAACGGCGAGUGAAGCGGGAAGAGCUCAAAUUUGAAAUCUUAAAGGGUUUCCCUUUACGAAUUGUAGUUUAAAGAAGUGUUUUCUGUUGAGGUUUUGGUAAAAGUUCUUUGGAAUAGGGACAUCAUAGAGGGUGAGAAUCCCGUAUUUGACCUUUACUUUCAACUUUGUGAUACACUUUCAAAGAGUCGGAUUGUUUGGGAAUGCAGUCCAAAAUGGGUGGUAAAUUUCAUCUAAAGCUAAAUAUUGGCGAGAGGACCGAUAGCGAACAAGUACCGUGAGGGAAAGAUGAAAAGAACUUUGAAAAGAGAGUUAAACAGUACGUGAAAUUGUCAAAAGGGAAGCGUUUGACACCAGUGUUGUUUUUCUGAAAAUCAAUUAAAGAACUGUUUAUGCUAAGCUGUUUAGACUUUAUCAGCUAAUCUGUUUAGUUUUGAGCUUUUCUUUAAUGCAGCUUUUCAGUUAACAAGUCAACAUCAAUUUCUUUUGCUGUAAAAAAGCUUGAGGAAGGUGGCUUGAGAUUCGUCUUAAGUGUUUAUAGCCUCUUGCCUAUGCAGUCGGAGAGAUUGAGGUCUGCAGCGUAGAUCCUUCGGGGCUAAAUGCAUUUGUGCUAAGUUAUAGCAUUUUAUAGACAACUUGUUGACUAUGAUUUGUCUUGUAGCUUACUCGCUUAUGUUAUUUUACCUACGCUUAGGAUGUUGAGUCGUAGAGCACGCAG